GUGGCUCCCUUCUUCUGUCCCGGAGGAGCUGCUGUUGAUAGAUGUUUGGGGUCCUUUCAGUUUAGACCUCCGUGUUGAGAAUGCGUGGGGAAGCCCAGGGAGGAGAAAAGAAAGCUAUUUGCUGAAUAUGACUGAACGACCCAAUUAUCAAGAGUGGAACUGAGGAGACAGAAUCAAGCCAGUCCUGAUCAGUUUCUUCAGUGGCAGUUUACAUUAAGGAAGAUAGCAUGCUCUCUUCUUCUAACAGAAAUCAACGAAAGCAUCAGACUCUGAAUUUGCGACUAGGACAAUGGAAGUUCAACCCAAAAGCAACUGUAUCUGCUCCUGAAGCCUCAUUAAUAAAGAAGCCAGGAAUCAUGACAAAUAUACACUCAGGACCUGUAUCAACUGACAGUAAAUUAGAAUGAGCAUCAAUGAGCACCACCUCCAGUUGAAUGACAGAAUCCCCAU